GCGCACCAAACCAGAUUAAACACAAUAUGUACUUCAAAACAAUCACAGUAGGUACUAGAUAGAUCAUCAAGUUCAAAAAUGCUUGCCACCUGCAUAAAUUUGCAGUAUCGUCUCAGCAUAACAGGCUGAAGCCAAAUGCACUCUUACAACACGACACUGAGUUCAGCCAUUCAAUGUACAAUUGCAAUCAAAACUAAAAACUCAGUAACCAAUCUAUCAAUGUACCAACACUUAAGAAAUUACCAAGUUUCGAAACACACUAUCCAAGUUGCCUCCCCCGAUACCUN
rnacentral:lncRNA from 1 species